rnacentral:rRNA from 1 species
AGUGAACGCUGGCGGUAGGCCUAACACAUGCAAGUCGAACGACCACACAGUAAGAGUAUGCUCCUACGGGUGGCGGGUGGCGGACGGGUGAGGCAUGCAUCACCAUCUACUUAUUCGUGGGGGACAUCGUAGGGACAGUUAUGAUAAUACCGCAUACGACCUACGGGUGGGAGCAAGGGUUCUUGGGGCCUUUCGCGAUUGUAUUAGCCGAGUUCGGAUUAGCUAGUUGGCGGGGUAAAGGCACACCAGGGCGACGAUCCGUUGCUGGUCUGAGAGGAUGGUCAGCCACACUGGAACGGAGACACGGUCCGAACUCCUAGGGGAGGCAGCAGUGGGGAAUUUUCGACAAUGGGCGCAAGCCUGAGCCGGCCAGACCGCGGGGGUGAAGAAGGCCUUCGAGUUGUAAAGCCCUUUUGUUGGGAAAGAAAAGCGGCAGGUUAACACCGCGCUGUUCUGACGGUACCCAAAGGAUAAGCACCGGCAAACUUCGU